rnacentral:rRNA from 1 species
UUAAGCAUAUCAGUAAGCGGAGGAAAAGAAACUAACAAGGAUUCCCUUAGUAGCGGCGAGCGAACAGGGAUGAGCCCAGCACCGAACCUCGCGCCCGGUUGAGCGGGUGCCGAGGAAUGUGGUGUUCGGGAGGAUCGUGCGCGCCUGUCCGGUAUCUAUCGUCCAAGUCUCCAUGAACGGGGCGAGCAACCCACAGAGGGUGUCAGGCCCGUAGAUAAGACGAGCCGAGACCGUGUAUCGGAUCCCUUCCCAAGAGUCGGGUUGCUUGAGCGUGCAGCCCUAAGCGGGAGGUAAACUCCUUCUAAGGCUAAAUAUCGCCACGAGACCGAUAGCGAACAAGUACCGCGAGGGAAAGUUGAAAAGAACUUUGAAGAGAGA